GAGAGUUGAUCAUGGCUCAGGACGAACGGCUGGCGGCAUGCCUAACACAUGCAAGUCGAACGGAGAUCAUUAGAUAGCUUGCUUGAAGAUGAUCUUAGUGGCGGACGGGUGAGUAACACGUGGGUAAUCUGCCUGACAAUCUGGGAUAACAGGGUGAAAACGCUGCUAAUACCGGAUAAGCUCACAGGGACGGGAGUCCUGGUGAGAAAAGGAGCAAUCCGUUGUCAGAUGAGCCCGCGGCUGAUUAGCUAGUUGGUGGGGUAAAGGCCUACCAAGGCGACGAUCUGUAGCCGGCCUGAGAGGGUGUACGGCCACACUGGAACUGAGACACGGUCCAGACUCCUACGGGAGGCAGCAGUGGGGAAUUUUCCGCAAUGGGCGAAAGCCUGACGGAGCAAUGCCGCGUGAGUGACGAAGGCCUUCGGGUUGUAAAGCUCUGUCUUCAGGGACGAAACAAAUGACGGUACCUGAGGAGGAAGCCACGGCUAACUACGUGCCAGCCGCAGC
rnacentral:rRNA from 1 species